rnacentral:rRNA from 1 species
UACGAAGGGUGCAAGCGUUACUCGGAAUUACUGGGCGUAAAGCGUGCGUAGGUGGUUUGUUAAGUCUGUUGUGAAAUCCCACGGCUCACCCGUGGAACUGCUGGGUAUACUGGGCGUCUUGAGCCACCUAGGGGCCAGCGGAACAAAUGGUGGAGCGGUGAAAUGCGUAGAUAUCAUUUGGAACGCCAACGGUGAAAACAGCUGGCUGGGGGUGUGCUGACGCUGAGACACGAAAGCCAGGGGAGCGAACGGG